GGGGGGGGGGGGGGGGGGGGGGGGGGGGGGCGGGGCGGGCGGGGGGGCCGUGCUGGUGUGGGGGGCGCGGGUGGCGAACGGGUGAGUAACGCGUGGGUCACCUGCCCUUGACUUUGGGAUCACUUCAGGAAACUGGGGCUAAUACCGGAUAGGAGCUCCUGCUGCAUGGUGUGGGUUGGAAAGUUUCGGCGGUUGGGGAUGGACUCGCGGCUUAUCAGCUUGUUGGUGGGGUAGUGGCUUACCAAGGCUUUGACGGGUAGCCGGCCUGAGAGGGUUGCCGGCCAAAUUGGGACUGAGAUACGGCCCAGACUCCUACGGGAGGCAGAAGGGGGGAAUAUUGCACAAUGGGCGGAAGCCUGAUGCAGCAACGCCGCGUGCGGGAUGACGGCCUUCGGGUUGUAAACCGCUUUCGCCUGUGACGAAGCGUGAGUGACGGUAAUGGGUAAAGAAGCACCGGCUAACUACGUG
rnacentral:rRNA from 1 species